UACAGAGGUCUCAAGCGUUGUUCGGAUUCAUUGGGCGUAAAGGGCGCGUAGGCGGCGCGGUAAGUCGGGUGUGAAAUCUCGGAGCUUAACUCCGAAACUGCAUUCGAUACUGCCGUGCUUGAGGACUGGAGAGGAGACUGGAAUUUACGGUGUAGCGGUGAAAUGCGUAGAUAUCGUAAGGAAGACCAGUGGCGAAGGCGGGUCUCUGGACAGUUCCUGACGCUGAGGCACGAAGGCUAGGGGAGCAAACGGG
rnacentral:rRNA from 1 species